UACGAAGGGGGCUAGCGUUGCUCGGAAUGACUGGGCGUAAAGGGCGCGUAGGCGGUUUGUACAGUCAGAUGUGAAAUUCCUGGGCUCAACCUGGGGACUGCAUUUGAUACGUGCAGACUUGAGUGAAGAAGAGGGUCGUGGAAUUUCCAGUGUAGAGGUGAAAUUCGUAGAUAUUGGAAAGAACACCGGUGGCGAAGGCGGCGACCUGGUCUUUAACUGACGCUGAGGCGCGAAAGCGUGGGGAGCAAACAGG
rnacentral:rRNA from 1 species